rnacentral:ribozyme from 1 species
AUUUUAAUUAGACUCGAAUUUGUUUGUGUCUUUUUCUAUUUUUUUCUUUUUUUUUUAUUUAUAUUUCUGUAUC